UAUAUUAUCAUCAGUAUUAAUAACAUAUAAUUUACAAUGUUGUCUAUUUAAAAAUUCUCAUGUCAUAAGUAUAUAAUGGUUCAAUAUUUGAUCUUAUAUUCAUAAUUAGAAUGUCAUUUAUAAGAAAAAAGUUUUUAUUUAUUGGUAACUCAACAAUUCUAAUAUAGAUAAGUCCUACCAUCAUAUCAAAGUAACUACUCAAUUUAUUAGCAUUGUCUCCAUAGCAACAAGAAUGCUCUGUAAACAUUACUAUCGUGCAGACAACUGUAGAAUGUUCAUUUUUUUUUAACAAUUUAUGUAAAUGUUUCAUCCUUAGGAUUUUGCAUAGGUAUGAUAGUAUCUUGACACUAGUUUGGAAGUAUUUUGAGCAAGUCACUUUUAUAUUUCUUGUUGAAUUUAAGGGUUUACUUUGAUUUCCAUGUAAAUUUCUGUAUCUAUACAUUCACAUUUGUAACCAGUGAUUUUAUAUCAAUACAACUUCCAAGAAUCAAAAAAACAUUUCAAUGUCCAAUGACAUUCUGGUUAGUUUUCUAUCACAUAACAUGGACUAUGCCAUAUCUUCAAAGGGGAAGAAAUUAUGUGUUUGCAACUUAUCUGAAACCAUUUGCAUAUUUUCAAUGAAACUUUCACAGAAUCUUUAGAACAGGUUAUAUUUAAAUGGCAUGAUGAUUAAACUAUUUUGUGGGGUUUUAGACAAACCAUAAAUCCUAUUAUAUAAGCAUAAACAUGUAAAAUUAACUUUAAGCAAAAUAUAAUUGUCUUAUUCUUGUAAAAAAAACCUUUUUAAUAUUGAAUGAGGCUGAGAUUUCAUGUAUAGAUUAAACUUUAACAUUUUUAGUAGCAGUUCAUAAAAAAUCAUGUGAUAUUUGCAUAAUAUAUUUAUUGAAUUUCUCUUAUAUUCAUAUUUUUGACUCAUUAAACAUUUCAUUUUGUAAAUAUUUCAAAAUCAUCUAUUGCAUUUGAUUUUUAAGCAUUUCCAUGCAUUGAUUCAAAGUCAUUCAUAUGUUUUAUUGAUAGCAAGCUUGAAUGUAUAAAUGGUGCUUCAAAGUCUGCCAGCUUCAGAGAUCUUUUAGCUCUUUGAUAACUGGCUUAUACAUUUUCGUUUAUUAUAAGGCCAAAUACAUUCUUAUUUGUGAUUGAGAUAGGAACUGUACAUUUAUUCCUGGACUGUGUUGCACUUAGUGCACUUGCACAAUUGUAAAUUAAGAUUGUUUAAUAACAAAUGGUACAAUAUAAUUAAAACUAAGAUUUAAAUGCUAUUUGAUGUUAAUUACCUUUCUAAAAUGCCGUUUUCAAUAUUGAAUUGUGGUUAGAUUUGAUUUAAAUUUCUCACAAACAAUAAUUUUGGGAAAAUUACACUGUUUAAUAUUCUUUCCCCCAAGUUAACAUGAUAUAUGAUCGAUUACUGUGGAAAAACGAAAAACCCUUUAAAGGUGUUGAGGCAAACAUUUAUUCAAUACUCGCCCGUUUUAUGCUGUCACUAACAUUGUUUGAAGGGGACAUUUAUGUACAGGUUAAUGAAGAAUUAAAAAUUUUGAACUAAAUGUAGUGUAUUCAAGAAUAAAUAUACUGUAACCUUCAGAGUAUAUGGUGCUUUAGUAAUUGUCUUGUAAGAUAUUAAUACAUAAUGUAUGAUUUUGAAUGAUUGUCUGAUGAAAUUACCAUUGUGUAUGUAAUUUUUAUCUCAGAUAAUGGUAAUGUUGUUAAUGAAGACUUUCAUAUUUUAAUGUAUUGCAAAUAUAUGUUUGCUAUAUGUUUGCAUUAAAAUUUAAAAUUUAUCUGCACUUAUGACAAUUAUUAUUUCAAUUAUUUUACUUGUCAGCUACUUUACAAAUGUAAACUGCAUUAUAUACUCCUGUAUGUUAUUUAAGGGGAUAGACAUUGGUAAAGGGAGGGUAUUUGAAUUCAGUAGAUUGAUCAAUGGUAAAAGUAUCACAAAAAAAUUAUUUGUAAAGCUGAUAAUGGAAUUUGAAUAAUCUGCGUUGCUUAGUAGCAAAGGGUAUAUUUAUGAAAACGACAGAUACCAGUUAUUAGUAAUUAUUUAAAGUCCCUAAACUUGGGGUUUCUUCCGUAAAGUAAAAAAAAUAUAUAAGGACUUAUAAUAAGUGUAGUACAAAAUGAAGUAAUGCUGUUUUUAUGGUCUUUUUAUAUAAAUUCAACUUGAAUUUGAUUUGUUUUUAAGAGAUUUCUGUUUUGAAACGAUGUAACUUUGAAUUGUGCAAUAGUAGUUUCUUUUUCAUUGCAAAUGUGGAAAAUGUAAUUGUGUAGAUAUAUUGUUUUCAUAUGCUGCUUUCUAUAAUAUUGAAAAUAAUGCAAUCGUAGGAAUGAAAUUUAAUUAGUAAGUUUGAAUCCUGACAAAUAUCUGGCAAUUUUACAAGCUGCAGUUUAGUACUGAAGUUAGUUAUUGACACACAAGCGAAAAUCAAAACAUAUAAACUUGGAAUUUUGUUUUUCCUGAAUCAGUAUUUGCAACACACAGCUUAGUAGUACAAUUUUAAUUAUCAUUUCUCAUUGCAUUUCUGUAUGUAUUGUCCAAUUUUAUUUUCUGUAUAAGCAUGGACCAGUAACAUUACUCUAUAUCUAUGACCUUUUAACUUGUUAUGUUUUAACCAAUAAUCUGUCUCAUUCUAAGGGGAGAUAAUCAUAUGUGGAUCUCAGUGUGUUGAUAUAGUGGUCUGUAUAUUCCUUGCUCAUUCUGACUGAGAUACAAUAAUAAAGUUUAAAAAUUCAAUUAUUUUGUUGUUUAUUUUAUUAUACCCCCCCUUUAAAAAAGGGGGGUAUACUGUUUUAUCUGUCUGUCCAUUCAUCCAUCCUUCCGUCAGUCCGUCCGUCCCAUGAAUACUUUUUGUCACA
rnacentral:lncRNA from 1 species